rnacentral:lncRNA from 1 species
CCCCUCUCCCUUUGUAAUCUAUCUUUCUCUCAAACUCUGUCUCUCUCUGAUACCCUUCCCCCUUUCUCCCCAUCAUUCUGUGUGUCUGCGUCAGGGUCUUUGGGCAGUCGUCGUGCUCAGUGCCGCUGCUUCAGUAACUUGGCCUUUGCCCUCAGUCAGCUGAGGGAGCAUGAGGAGGCAGCAGAGAAUGACCUCCAAGCCCUGCAGGCCUUCAAAGACACUGUGAGUGGAGCUGGCUCUGCAGAGGUGUCUAUCGGAGAGCAGGGGAAGGAGGAGGAAGCCCCGGUUCCAGAUGGAGAACAGGCACACACAGUGACGAUGGGAGAAGCAUGUGACUCUCAGUCACCGGUGACAAGAUCUCUCAUUGAGAAGCCGGGGUAUCUGACUGUGCUGCCAGGGGCAAACAGGAACCUGAAUAAUACAUAUGAGCAGCCCGACCCGACCACCAUUAUUAGAACCAGGACCCAUCAAACCACCCUGUACUCACCCAGCAGAGCGAGCAUUUAUAUGAGAGCUUUAAACCGAUGACAACACAGACUAACAGUGAGACUCCAUUGUCCGAAAGCGCCGAAGAUUCACCCACUGGUGCGACAGAUAAUGAAGAGACCAUAACCCUGUUAAAGAAACGGAAGUCCUAAAUCUGCACAGUCAUGUGACUUGAUGCAAGUUAAUGUGGUUGGUUAAUUGAAAGCAUUCAUAGAAAUGACUCUAUUGGGUGUAUUUCUAUGGGUCAAAUCUGCUCUUUGCACAUUGGUAUUAAAAAUUCUAAUGCACAUGUAAGUGUUACUGUAUAACAUUGUCUGUCUCAUCUCCUGCACGUACAAGUGUUGCCAUGUCAUUGCAUUUGUCUUCCAAACACUCCCUGUGUGUAUGCUGGUCAUUGUCCCCCACACUGAAAUUGGGGAAGGGACUGUGGAUCUGUUUCCGUCCGUUAGUACGUUCAUAUGUUAGUCACAAGCGAUAUCUCAGACAGCAUUGGCCCGGUUUUGACUAAACUUUGGUGAAUGGUGCAUCUUGCCAUAGCUUUACAGCAUUUAGAAAAUUACACUGAUUGGCCAGAUGGUGGCCCUGUAACAAGAUUGAAAAUGCAAAGUUUGAAAGGUCAUGCCCCUCACCCCAUUAUACCUUAAAUCAUGAAAUAUAGUAGAUCGGUUCCUGUCUUCACAAGGAACAAAUUUGCCUCUGGACCCAUAAGUUCCGCCAUGAUGGAUUUUCCGCCAUUUUGAAUUGUGUGAAAAACACUUAACCCUACUCUUCUGAUACCGAAUGACCAAUCUGCACGAAACUUGAUAUGUGGCAUUUAUGGAAAACGAUCUCUCAACGCAAUAUUUUCCAGACUGGUAGCUAAAUCAACAUGGCCGCUAUAUUGACCAAUAAACAUUCACCUGGGUGUGUUCUGGCACAUAACUGCAUAUAAAUCAGUCAAAGACAUUCGUAUUGUAACAGAAUUUGAUAAACCCUGUCAAGACUCAACAUAUGCAAGAACAUUCAUAUCGACCUUGCUGUGGCGCUAUAACGGGCAUAUAUCUGUUGGUCUGUUUGACUUAGUGAUGAAAUUUGGCACGCAUGUUUAGGGAUAUGAGCUAACCCACACGAUAUCUCAGACACCACUGGCCCAAUUUUGACAACAUUUGGGUGAAUGAUUAGUCAUGCUAUAGAGAUCUGAAAAUGACAAAAUUAUACCUUUUGGGCCAGGGGGGCUAUAGUAAUCAACUGUACAUACGUUAGUCAUUUGUGGGGGGAUGACAUGUUUACUGUUGCCUUAUUUCAAGGUGUCUUGGUAGUCAAUAUUCUAAGAUUGUCAUAAUGUGUAUCAUUUCUUCAAUCAUGCUAAUUUAAAUCUCUGCUCUUCACUUGAAUCAUGGUUGUACAAUUUGAAAUAAAUGUCAUCUGUUUUUGAACUAUUUAACUCUGAUCCUUUGUAAAUGUAUAGUCACCACAACGCUUAAGAAAGCCAUCACCGUUGAUCAUUGCUACAAGAAAACACAAAAAAAGAACAAGCACUCAAUCUGUUUUCAAUUGGUUUUCCUAAAGGUCACACUAUGAGAAAAUAGGCCUAACCUGUAAUUAAAUAUCCACAAUUGUUACCCAGAGGAGGGCCAUUUUUUUUCAAUUUCAGUCAGGGAGAGGGUUUAGUCUUUUAUUCAUUUUUAUAUAUUUGUUAUUUAGUCCAG